rnacentral:rRNA from 1 species
UACGUAGGGGCAAGCGUUGUCCGGAUUUAUUGGGCGUAAAGAGCGUGUAGGCGGCCAGACAGGUCCGUUGUGAAAACUCGAGGCUCAACCUCGAGACGCCGAUGGAAACCGUUUGGCUAGAGUCCGGAAGAGGAGAGUGGAAUUCCUGGUGUAGCGGUGAAAUGCGCAGAUAUCAGGAAGAACACCCGUGGCUAAGGCGGCUCUCUAGUACGGUACUGACGCUGAGACGCGAAAGCGUGGGGAGCGAACAGG